GUUUACAGCCAUGCCACUUUAAUUCGCCUGGUCUCCUCGGAUCUUGGAGGCUACGCAGGGUCGGGCCUGGUUAUUAUUUGAAUGAAAGAGGGCAAACAAUUGAGGAAGACACACAUCUGUAAUCC
rnacentral:rRNA from 1 species